rnacentral:lncRNA from 1 species
UUCUAUGUUGUUUUUCUUUUUUUCUUCUACAAACAGAAACAGUAUACAAAGUUUGAUACCAUACAUCCAGUUUAUAUAAUAUACACCAUGCCAACCUCUACGAGAGCAGCAUGGGGGAUGUUCAAUGCCACUGGAGGUUCUCGGCAAUUUUUAUCAAGAAAAACAUAGGCCAUAAUCAGGAAUUUUUUCAAAAAGUUUGAAUCAUUACGCACUGUUAAAUGCGACUGACCUAGGAAAUAUGCGGUGCCACUUUCCCUGGCAUCAAUCAAUUCUUGUAGCUCCUCCCUGACAGAUACCCGCAUUCUAGGACUACCUUCUGGCAUUAGAAAUCGAACCUUUUUUCUUCUGACCGGAGUUUUUCUUUCGAUCAAAUCUUCUAAUGGACUUGCCAGAGUUUCAUUGUUAGCUAUAUUUGUGGAGCCGGCAAAUGAGGUGGUAUCAUGCAUAGGAAUCAGUGCAUUUCUGUCCACCAAUGGCUUCCCAACAAUCAUCAUUCUUCCUUCAGGAGAAGUCAGAGAUUCACAAUCACUUUCUUCUAAGGAAAUGAAUUCUCCGAUUGAGCUAAUAAUCUGUUCCUCAAAAUCAUCUGUGUCUCUUAUCUGAUCACAGUACCCAUACCUCACAAUGCAUCUGUAAAUUCUGUAAUCUUCGGUACCAACUCUGCCUACAAGAUACCGCUCACGGGGAG